CAUCCGUCCUAUAAUAACUUCGUAAUAUUUUGACUCUUUGUCUUAUUUAAAUUUUUUGCAAUUAAUAUUUUUAUUGUUACUAGAUGAUAAAAUAUAAAUAGUAUUUUAUGCUAGACUAAUUUUUUAAAAAAAAUUUAAUAAAUUUUUUAAAUAAGAUAAAUGGUCAAACGUUGGAUAUGAAGAAAC
rnacentral:pre_miRNA from 1 species